rnacentral:pre_miRNA from 1 species
GCAACAUCUGGACCGUCGGUCUACCGAGCAAAUAUCACCUGCUCGCUUGAAGAUCUUCCCUUUGUCGU